CAAGUGAACUAUUAGAAGAUGAAGAGUGUUUAGUUACAUCAGUUGUCUCAUCAAUGAACUGGACUUGUGGGCAUUGUGGACCUGGAUGAAGUGUGGACAUGGAUGAAGUGUGGACUUCAGUGAAAGCAAGAUAUGUCAUCUCAACAUUCAUAAGCAUUUCAGCAUUAUAAUUGGGACCAAUUAAACAGAAAGUCACCGAAACCCCAAAUGACACUUUGGAUAUUAUGAAGAAGGCAGAGCAUGAGCUUUAACCUUAGCUGGGAAUUUGUUUGCUGGAAUUUGAAUGGAAGAGACUGUUGAUAUCCAGACAGUAAACACCCAUGCUUCUUACCAUUCCUGUGCCUCAUGCAUCUAGGCAGGACCAUAUACAUGCUUUUUGCCUGUGGAUCACAAGUGGCGAUGGUGUUAUGCACUGGUAAGCCUCUAAUGUGUCUCAAAGAAUUCCCAGUAGCCACUUUAGGAGCAACAAGGUAAAAGCAGCCCUGAGUUCCGAGGGACCAUAGGUGGAGAGCUGAGCAUAAGGGCUGUCUCACCUGCCCUGAGACCUGCACAACUGAAAGAAUCUCCGUUUUAUUUUUUCAAACAGCACAUAGUCUUAAUUUGUAUCACACACAUAACUCACAAAGCCUUUUUGAUAGUCAUAGUACCCUGCCAAUACAUCCACUUAGAUGAAGUCAACAAAUUUUUUA